rnacentral:rRNA from 1 species
UACGUAGGGUGCGAGUGUUGUCCGGAAUUAUUGGGCGUAAAGAGCUCGUAGGCGGUGUGUCGCGUCGGCCCGUGAAAACCUGGGGCUUAACUCUGGGCGUGCGGUCGAUACGGGCAUCACUAGAGUUCGGUAGGGGGAGACUGGAAUUCCUGGUGUAGCGGUGAAAUGCGCAGAUAUCAGGAGGAACACCGGUGGCGAAGGCGGGUCUCUGGGCCGAUACUGACGCUGAGGAGCGAAAGCGUGGGGAGCGAACAGG